CUGGACUCCAAGGUGUAUGACCCCUCCCUAGCCCAGGAAGAGACCUCCCUGCUGCCUUGUCAGCUUUGAACAAACAGGCCUGGUUUUUAGGAAGAUGAACAUGGUGAGAGUUGUCUCCAUGAGAAUGGCAAGCCCCUCCAGGGCCUUCUCCACAGGCUUCCAUCCAGUGCUUGGAGGAGACCCAGGCCACCAACUGUAAGAAAACAGGAGGAGUCAGUUCAAUGCCCAGCACACGGCAGCUUGCUCUCCAGGACAGGCUCAACAUGGCAUGCGCACCACCUGGGUCUGUAGGACUCUUGCAGUGUGAAAGGGGGGCGUGGUGACUUCAUGACCUUGCUAAGCCACUUAGUCAUCUUACUCCGAAGAGAAGAAUAAGCACAAGGGUGGAGAAAGCAAACAGAAGAGUGGUCCAGCUGCUCCGAGAACAAACAGAUCAUUUCAUUCGACAUUUAUGGGGAGCUAUUAAUUUCAUCCCAGACAAUCAAAUAGCAAAGGAUUUUCUAUUUAUCCUGACAGCAGGAAUUCUAGGCCGAUAUCAUCCUUUCAUUACAAAUGUCAUCACUUCAGUUAUCAUGGAAUGUCCUAGCAGAUAAAUAAAUAAACAAAGAGAGAAUGAAGCAAGAA